UGACGUUGGUUAUAUCUCUGACCAAGAGGAUGACACUAUGGUAGAGUACAUAAGUGAUAAUGAGGAGAAUGAAGGCAAUAAUAGUACUAAUGACGAUGAAGCUGAUAGCACAGGUGAUGGCGACGACAUUGGCUUGUGAUGUAAUCUCAUAAUAGUAAGCCAAGUGAUGUAGAUGGUGAACCUACAUCACCCAUGGACACAAGAAGAUCAUCCAGUGGUAGUAAUCCUAGUGACAACUAUUAAAGUUCCUUGUAUUUGGAUUAAAUCUAUGAAAAUGUGAUUGUGUGGUUAGAAUGGAUGUUAGAAUGGCUGGAGUGAAUAUUGGGUUUAAAUUUAGUUUGUAAGGCUGAUGAUCGUACUUUAUGAUGAUAUUUUUGUGUUGUUAAAAUAUGUUGAUAUUUCUUAUAGUUAAUAUGCCUUUUUGGGUUUGAUUAUGAGGUCUAUAGGUUAAUAUGCCUUUUUAGAUUUGAAAUGAAUUUGGGGAGCCAUUUCUUAUGCUCAAAGUGGCGAGAAAUGUGGUAAAGUUGAAUCACGUCGUGCCACGAUGUUAAAUGUGGCACUUGGUGGGAGGCAACCUAUCGAUUUCAAAAUUCUUAGUCGUUUUUUGAAAUUUUCUUUUUUAGAAUAGUUUAUUAUAUUAUUUUUUACUAAUAUACCAAGUUUCAUGUUAUUUGGAAUUAAUUGGACAGUUUAAGGGGUUGAAGUUGGUUAAAAUAGUGCAAAACUUUUCUUGGUUAAAAUAGUGCAAAAGUUUUCUUGCUUAAAACGGUGCAAAGUUCUCUCCCGGUUACAUGGAGUUCUCAAGUUACACAGAGCGAGUGCACAAAGAAGUCCCAAAGUGUUUUGUGGUUCAGAUGGUUUGCCUUAUUUUGGGUCCAGGAGUUCUUAUUUUAUACUAGAAUUGGGACAAGACACGUGAGGCUAGUUAAAACUGAAAUUAUGUGAUGAAAUGCUGGGCCUCAAUCAUCCACAUUGUUGACCAUAUUGAUCUUGAUGCUUGCAGUGUUCUCCUCAAGCCACUUUAUGAAACAUCCAAGAUCCUUGCUCAGAAAAUGAUAAUGGUUGCCUUCCGAUACAUAAGGCAGAUAGCCCAAGAAGCCAAUAGAGAAAUCCAAUACGCUGGAGGUCGGCAACCUGCUGUGUUGAGGGAAUUUAGUCAGAGAUUAUGCAGGGGAUUCAAUAAUGCGGUUAGUGGAUUUAUUGAUGAUGGUUGGACAACUAUGGGUAGUGAUGGUGUGGAGGAUGUAACAAGUGCUGUAAACUCAUCGCCAAGUAAAUUCCUUGAUGCACAAUAGAAGAUCACCAAAAGAUUCAUUCCACUGGAGCUGAAAUCAGUUAAGUGAAGUCUAUCUAUUACGUUUCCUACAACUUCAAUGUGUAAUAAAUUUUGGCCGUAGGAGAAACCUACGAAUGCAGAAACUUCUAGCUUUUAAUCACAGCUUUUUCUGCCUUUCAUCUUUUAGAGAAUUUAAGAUUAUUUUGGUGGUUUAAAAAGUUAAUAAGCACCUAGCAUCUGAAAACUGCCAUAAAUAUCUAGACUAGAUUAUCUCAUGAAAAGCAGGGCCGCUUGAAGAUUGCAGACUUUUGGUGGUCUGUACAAUCAAGAAGCAACAGACAUACAAUGUGCGGAACUCUGGACUAUCUAGCACCAGAAAUGGUGGAGAACAAACCUCAUGAUUAUGCAGUUGACAAUUGGACUUUAGGGAUCCUCUGCUAUGAGUUUUUAUACAGUGUGCCUCCAUUUGAGGCCGAGAGACAGACCGACACAUUUAGAAGGUAACGAUUCCUCUGCUUCUUUCAUCUUUUAACUGUUACUGGAAAAUCAAGAUGUACUAACUUAGAUUAUUAUAUAAUUAUGAAGGUAGACCUCAUCUUCCCUUCAACACCUGAUGUAUCUGCUGAAGCUAAGAAUCUCAUUAGCCAGCUUCUUGUGAAGGACUCUUCGAAAAUGCUUUCUCUUCAAAAGAUCAUGGAGCACCCUUGGAUAAUUAAUAAUGUCACAUGACACUAUAAUCUGAGUCGCUUCGCCAAUUUUCAUCGUUUAGUUAAAGCGCCCUGUCUAGUGAAACUGUGAAAGUAACCGAUGACAUAAUGUUUGUUUUUUCACCUGCUGGUGUUUCAACUCUAUUUGCUAUUACAUAUGCUAUGUAAAUGUAAUCAUCUUGGUUUCAAUAGUUUGUAUCGGAUGUAGUCUGAAGCUAUGUUGGGGGACAUUGAUAUAGUUUCCUAGAAAUAGUUGUAUAUCAUUUACAUAUGACUUUACUGGAUUUUCUAUUAACUUCGAAAUUAGUUUCUUACCUUAUUCUCAUAGUUUACUACUGUUACUAUUUAUG